UGGAGACCUGCUGCGGAUAUGGGUACGGCCCAGAGCGAGAUUCAGUCAUCGCACCCGGAUUUUCAAGGGGCGGCGCGCUUUGCGUUACCGCAACGUUGGGCGGCCGCGACGAGCACAAAGUGCAAGCACGCGAACCAUCCCCCGACCUUUCUCCGCACUCUGGGUUCGGGGAUCUGAGCCCGAUUCCCUUUCGCUCGCACCGGGGCGGAUGGGAGCCCAUCGCCCAACAUCGUCCGCAAGGCCUUCGCCCGUCACUUAGGACCGACUCACCCAUGUCCAAGCGCUGUUCACAUGGAACCCUUCUCCACCUCGGCCUUCAAAGUCUCUCGUUUGAAUAUUUGCUACUACCACCAAGAUCUGCACCCGCGGCGGCUCCACCCGGGCCCACGCCCAAGGCUUCAGCGCCACCGCGGCGGCCCUCCUACUCGUCGCGGCGUAGCGCACGGACCACACUUCGUGUGCGCGCCGCGCGAAGGCGACGCGCCAAGCGCGAAGGAACGGUACAUCGCCGGCGACGGCCGGGUAUAGGCCCGACGCUCGAGCGCCAUCCAUUUUCAGGGCCAGUUGAUUCGGCAGGUGAGUCGUUACACACUCCUUAGCGGAUUCCGACUUCCAUGGCCACCGCCCUGCUGUCUCGACCAACCAACACCUUUUGCCAGGGCUCCGAUGAGCGUUCGCGUUCGGCGCCUUAACCCGGCGUUCGGUUCAUCCCGCAGCGCCAGUUCUGCUUACCAAAAGUGGCCCACUGGGCAGCUCGCAUUCUUCGCCCACGCACACGCCCGGCUCCGAAGCUGCGAGCCGGGCGUCUUACCCAUUCAAAGUUUGAGAAUAGGUUGAAGCCGUUUCGGCCCCAAUGCCUCUCGUCAGUCGCUUUACCGGAUAAAACUGCGCAUCCAGCGAGAGCUCCAGCUAUCCUGAGGGAAACUUCGGAGGGAACCAGCUACUAGAUGGUUCGAUUGGUCUUUCGCCCCUACGCCCGGGUCGUACGAUCGAUUUGCACGUCAGAACCGCUGCGGGCCUCCACCAGGGUUUCCCCUGGCUUCGCCCUGCCCGGGCGUAGCUCACCAUCUUUCGGGUACCAACAAGUACGCUGUGGCUCCGUCCGCCUCCGCCGGCACGCGCCGGACGGAGAGCGCAGGACGGGCCGGCGGUGUCGCGCGCCAGCACGAGGGGAGCCCUCACCGCUUGCCGGCGGUUCGGGCAGAAACGGCGCGAGACGAGACGCGAGAGGGUGCCCACUGAGAGAGGAGGCACGAAGCCACCGGACCCGAGGAGCACCGCGCUCGCACCAGCACCCGCACCGCCCGACCCGGCCGCCGAGCGGACGGGACGCCUUAACCCGACUGCGUGCGCACCGCACACUUUCAUUGUGCCUCCGGGGUUUCUUUCGAGCCCUUCGACUCGCGCACGUGUUAGACUCCUUGGUCCGUGUUUCAAGACGGGUCGGGUGGGAUUCCGACCCUCGCCGCAGACCCCGAGCGCCGGGGACCGCACCGCCAACGCGCGACACGACACGCGCAAGGAAAACGCACGCACGGCCGGGAAACCCGCACGGGGAGAGGACGGGCCCCGGAGGACCCGAACCCCCCCGAAGGGCCCCGACCGACGCACGAAGCCCUCGGCGCGCCGGCCACGCAGAUGCGGAAACGGCCCCUGCCGGAGGCGCACGACGACGCACUGAGAACAGUUCGCCGCCAGUCGACGGAGCGGCGGGCGGCGGAGGUGCCCCAGACGCGCGAGACACGGCCGCUUUCGCGAAACCACGCUCGCACGCGGCGCGGCAUCAGACUUUUCUUUCCGUCCAGUUUCCCUCGGUCCCGGGGCGAGCGAACGCUCUCGCCAGGCCCCCGCGACGGGCGCGGCCCCGGUGCCUUCACCCCCACGACGACGCGCGAAGGCGCGCGAAGCGGAGAGCACCGGUCGCAGGCCCCGCCACGGCGCCUCGACAAAUCGCAAAGCUCUCGGUCGACAAAAAAACCCAGGCGCUCCUGGCCGCCUCCGGAACCGGUCGCGGCGCACCGCACGCGGAGAAAGUGCACCGGGCGGCGGACGAGUCCGCCGAGGGGCGAGGCCCGCCCACACGUUGACCGGGAUCGUCGAAGCGCACCCGACCCACGAGGGGACGGUCGACGCGACGGCGUCCGGGCGCGGGACGGGUACCGCGACACCCACGACGGGCGACCGACGCCACGGCUGACUCCUCCGGGCGGACCGCGCGGAUCCCACCCGUUUACCUCGCAACGGUUUCACGAACUCUUGAACUCUCUCUUCAGAGUUCUUUUCAACUUUCCCUCACGGUACUUGUCGGCUAUCGGCCUCGUGCACGUAUUUAGCCUUGGAUGGAGUUUACCACCCACUUUAGGCUGCAUUCCCAAGCAACCCGACUCCAAAGAGACCCGACCCCGGCACGUCGGGGGCCAUCGCACCGGCCUGCCACCGUCCAUGGAGGAGGCCCCGAUCGAAAGGACUUGGACCCCCGAGCGAUACCGGGAGGUGCGAGCUCCUGUACGCCACAACUCCACACGCCCGUAGUGCGGGCGGGGAUUCGGCGCUGGGCUUUUCCCUGUUCACUCGCCGUUACUGAGGGAAUCCUCGUUAGUUUCUUUUCCUCCGCUUAGUAAUAUGCUUAAAUUAAGCGGGUCGUCACGUCUGAUCUGAGGUCGCAAACAUCGAAGUGCUCCCGGAGAGGCACGCCGCCGCGAGAGCGACGCGCUCUCCGUGUCUGGCCACCGGUCCCCGUCGCAACUCACACGGGAGACGCGGAGACUCGGAUCUGGCUCUCUGCGCUCUCUCUCCCUCUCUCUAUACGCCGUGGUCGCCACACCGACACGGAGCCGUGCACGCACGCGCGACGAUGUCGAAGCCGAACAAGUCGAAGUCGAAGUCGAAGCAGGCUCACUCACUCGAGGGCCACCGACGACCGCACGCACGCCACGGCCACGGCGGCGGCACGACCAAACAACGCAAAAACCACAACAGUGCUGCAUUUCGAAGAGCCGCGACCGUCGAGCGGCCUCGAACUCCCAUUCGCGGGAACCACGCAAAGCGCGUAGCGAGGCCCGGCCCACCGAAGCGCGAAGCGCGAAGGAAGGCCAGGACACCCGUGCUCCCGAUCGAUAAUCGAGCGACCCUCAGACAGGCGUGGCCCCGGGUGUGUAGCCCGGGGCCGCAAUGUGCGGGAUAGGGAUCGAGGGGGGGGGGGGGGGGGGGGGGGGGGGGGGGGGGGGGGGGGGG
ensembl:lincRNA